rnacentral:lncRNA from 1 species
CCAGAAUGUCCCUUCCACAGCGUUCUGUGGUCGGCAAGUCACCAAGCCAGCCUGGAUUCCAGGAAGCAGAAAGGGAGUUCCCUUCCGCCUCCCUAAUGCCAUGGAAUGGGGAAGGGUACAACUCUAGGAUCAGACCCAAAGGGAACUGUUGUGAAUCUUGAUUUUGUGACUUCUUGGCUAUUGGAUUUGGGCCAAUUAUUUGUCAUCUCUGUACCUUAAUUUACUCAUCUAUGAAAGAAGGACUAAAAAUACUUAUCAUAGGAGAAGACAAUAUGUAAGCCACUUGGCAAUGUGCCUGGGACCUAGUGAGCGAUUCUUCUCACUUAUUAUUGUUUUCGUCAUCAUCGACAUCAUCGUCACCAUUACUUUUCAUUGUCUUUGGAAAUUUGGACAGAGACCACAGGCAGAUGCGGUGCCGUAUUCCCACAGGGCUGGAGCAGCGGGUGUGUUUUUCUGUGAUAGCAGCGCUUCCCGGAACCAGCAGGGUACACGUUAUUUGACCUGAAGGGCGAGGGAGUUCAGAGCCUACAGUGAUGAGAGAAAGCCCUGAGUGAACGUUUCCUUUCAGCUUCGUGAGAGGAAGAGUCUAAAUAGGGGAGCCAUCCCCAAAACCUGACCACGAGCAAGGGUGCAAAAUAGGGUGCAGUCUCUUCACAUAUCUAGACAGGAGUAUGAACCUCCUUGGGAGCGUGCAGGCUGGCAAUACCCGUGUGUGCAUGUACGCGUGUGAUUCCUGUGUGUGCGAGCUUCUGUUUAUGUGUGUGAGUGUGUGCAUGUGUUAGUAUGUGUAAAUGUGUGGUUUAUGUGUGGUGGAGUGAGCACAUGAGCAUGUAAAAGUGUGUGUGCAUGAACAGAAGUAUGUAUGUGUACUGCAUAUGUAUGUGUGAGUCUGUGUGGCAUAUGUGUAUGUGGAGAUGUGUUUGUAGUGUGUAUCCGUGUGUGUACCUGCAAGUAUGUUUGUGUUUAUGUGUGAGUGGUACGUAGUAUCUAUACACAGGUGUGUACAUUGUGUGAGUCGUGUGCAUGUGUGUGAUGACUCUGUGUUUGCGAGUGUGUGUGCUGCAUGUACCAGAAUGUGUGUAUCUGUGUAUGUGAGGGUUUAUGGGUGAGUGCAAUGUGUCUGUAUGUGGGCAUGUAUAUCAUGUGAGUUAUGAAUAUGGGUGCAAUGUAUGUGUGUAUCUUUAUGAGUGUGUUGUGCUUGUAUCUAUACAUGUGUGUGCACGUGUGCAUGCAUACAUUUGUGUGUGUGCAUACAUUUAUGGGUGUGAUGUGUGUGUCUGUCUGUGGGUGUGUAUGUUGUGUGAGUUGUGUGUAUAUGUGUGAUGAAUGCAUGUGUAUGUGCAUGCAUGCAUCUGUGUCUACUCGUACUUUAUGGGUAAGAGGUGUGUGUGUGUGUGUACAUUGUGUGAGUCGUGUGUACAUUGUGUGAGUCGUGUGUACAUGUGUGAUGAAUGCAUGUGUAUGUUUGUGCAUGUGUGGUGCAUGCAUCUGUACAUGUGUGAAUCUGUGUGUAUGCAUAUAUUUAUGGGUAAGAUGUGUGUCUCUGUAUGUGGGUGUGUACAUUGUGUGAGUCGUGUGUACAUGUGUGAUGAAUGCAUGCGUAUGUGAGUGUGUGGUGCACAUAUCUGUGCAUAUGUACAUCUGUGUGUACACAUAUAUUUAUGGGUGAGAGGUGUGUGUCUUCAUGUGGGUGUGUAUGUCAUGUGAGUCGUGUGUACAUGUGUGAUGAAUACAUAUGUAUGUGAGUGUAUGUAUAGUGCAUGUAUCUGUGCAUGUGUGAAUCUGUGUGUAUGCAUAUAUUUAUGGGUGAGACGUGUGUCUCUGUAUGUGGGUGUGUACAUUGUGUGAGUCGUGUGUACAUUGUGUGAGUCGUGUGUACAUGUGUGAUGAAUGCAUGUGUAUGUGAGUGUGUGGUGCACAUAUCUGUGCAUAUGUACAUCUGUGUGUACACAUAUGUUUAUGGGUGAGAGGUGUGUGUCUUCAUGUGGGUGUGUAUGUCAUGUGAGUCAUGUGUACAUGUGUGAUGAAUGCAUGUGUAUGUGAGUGUAUGUAUAGUGCAUGUGUCUGUACAUGUGUGAAUCUGUGUGUACACAUAUAUUCAUGGGUGAGACAUGUGUCUGUACGUGGGUGUGUAAUUGUGUGAGUUGUGUGUACAUUGUGUGAAUCGUGUGUACAUGUGUGAUGAACGCAUGUGCAUGCAUGUGUGUGGUGCAUGUGUGCAUCUGUGUGUACACAUACAUUUAUAAGUGGGGGUGUGUGUCUGUGUGUGGCUGCGUGUGUUGUGUGGGUCAUGUGUACAUGUGUGAUGGAUGUAUGUGUAUGCUUUGCUUUGUGAUGCGUGUAUCUGUGCACAGGUGAACCUGUGUUUUUCUCCCUUGUUGAAAGGCAGGAUGACACGGCAGUUAGGAGCUUCUCUGGGGCCUUCAGGCAGACGGUCUGGGCUGUGUCCUGGCUGUGCCUUUUCCCAGCCCUACCUGCAGUCCUACACAUCUUCUCCACCUCCAGCGGCUUCUCCUUCUCACAUCCACCCUCUGCGAAGGCAUAAAUAGUAGCAACUCCCUUCUGGAUUCUAUGAGGUGAUAAUUACAUGAGAUGGCAGAGCCUGGAGCACGGGAGCUCCUCAGUGACUCAGUCAUGUUCAUUCCAAGGAGUUCAGGGUCCUUGCCGUCUGCAAACCUUUCCCCUUAUUUUCAAGAUCCUUGAGUCUGACUGUCAAGCAGUAACAUUCCAGCCUCAACUACAACAAUACUUGUAGAUGAAUGGAGCUUCCACUGGACCCCAUGUCACUGGUGAGGGACUUCAGGCAGAGAGAAAGCUCAUCCUUUGCCCAAGGUCACACCGCUGGUAAAAAGCAAAUGAAGUUCAAACUGACCUCCUCAUCCCUGCCCUUGUCCUCCCAACAGGCUCCUCACAGGUGGAAAAAUCAACCCCUACAGCAAACUCAUUGUUUUUUUGACCUCUCCUAAAAUUAAAAUCCAAGAUCCCUCAUGAGCUCUGUGAUCUUGGGUAAGGUGUUUUUUUUUUUUUCACCUCUAUGGGUUCCAGUUUCCUCCAAAGAAAAACCAAGGGUUUUGCAAACAUUUAAUUGUCAGUGCACAUCAUGCCAGUUUCAUGUCCUUGACCUUGGGAGAAGGCUGGCCAGUGGCCAGAACCGUCCUCUAUGCUCUGAGGCUGAGAGGCGUCAAAGCAAAGCUCUGUGACACACAUUACCUUUGAGCCCCCAAAGAACAUGAAGGAGCCCAGCCUGGGGGGUGCUUCUACUCUCUCUCUCCCAGUCCAGACUCCAGCUACUUCCCCUAAAGAGGAAGGCCAUGCUGAGUGUCUCCAGCUGAGGACGUGUUACUCCAAGACUCAUCUCCUUUGAUGUCUGGUCUCGUUAGCGGCUACGGUGGUAUAGGUGCUGACUGGGUUAACUCCAUCAAUAUUCUCCUUCUUACUCACCUACUUUGCUGUUUAAUAACAUAAUACAUAUUCUUGUAUCUUUUGCUUGUAGUUUCUAUUUUGUAUUAUGAAAUGCCCCUGGAUUCCUUUGAGUCUAUUUAGUCAGAACAUAAAAAAGCAACUAUCCUGCCAUUUACCUCUUUCCAUUUUACUACUCAGCAUGAUCUUGAAUGACUCUAAUAUUUUGCAUUCAUGACAAAAAUAUACAAAAGGUGACAGAUGAAAUGUAGGUCAUGCUAAGUUUUUUUUCCGGCCCAAUAAAAGUGCAAGUCCUCUAAAGAGAUCUUUCCCGGAAAAUAUGAAUAUGGCAAAGGAAUGUAAAAGGAAGGAUUUGAGACUGAGGCCAUAGUAAUCAUUUUAAAGCAGUUACAAGCACAUUUGCAAGUAAAUACAUCCAUUUCUAGGCGCUACCUAGAGCUGAUGUUGGCAAAUACAAUUCCGAGAAGCCCUCAGAGAAGGAAAGCAUUGUUUGCUAAGCAAGUUGCCGAGAUGAGAUCAGUGGAAUAGAAAAAUCUUAUUUUUGAUGACGUGAAUCUAAAUGAGUUAUGGGGAGAGGUAGGAACUGGGAGUGGGGACGUCUCUUCCAAAAAUAAAAUCCUGAGAUUCUGGGAUGUGAUCUGCCCAGUUGAUGCAGUACUUUGAUUUUUACCCUUAGCAUCAAGUUAGGUAAGAAAAA